ensembl:lncRNA
CCGACCCCCCCACCACGUGAUCCAGGACCCCAGACCCCCCCACCAGGGGACCAGGGACCCCAGACCCCCCCACCACGGGACCAGGGACCCCAGACCCCCACCAGGGGACCAGGGACACCCACCAGUGGACCAGUAACCCCAGAUCCCCGCCAGGGGACCAGGGACACCCACCACGGGACCAGGGACCCAAGACCCCCAGCAGGUGAUCCAGUACACCAGACCCCCAGCCCCCACACCAGGUGGUCCAGGACCCUCACCCCCCCCACCAGCUGAUGUGGAACACCACCCAACAGGGCUCCAUCUCCUCAGCUGACCAGAAAAUCUGCGACGAAGAUACGAUAACAAGAGGGCAAUCAUUUACAUCGGCUGUUGUUCAAUGUAGAAACAGCUAACCAACCUAACACAAGAUGGCCUCUGGUGGACCAACCAGGUGGAGCUCCUGGUCCUCAGGCUCCUGCUCAUCAAGCUGCUGGUCUUCAACACAUUGAUGAGUGCCCUCGCUGCUGUGAGCUGAUGGUGAAGGACGGGGGAUUCCCACGACAAUGUGGCCGACGCCAUCUUCAUCAGGAGAAGACUCGAGGACACAGAGGUUCCUAAAAGCCCACCAACACCGUCACCGUGGGCAACAUGUUGUACCUCCGUCCUGGUACUGUCCUGCCCUUAGCUCGACAAACACGACAUUGAAAGUGUUUUUCUAGGAGGAAUCGUUGUGGAUGUUAAGAGGGAACAGCAGACACAUUUCAAGCAGCCUUCCUGUCCCCUCCACAUCGCAGCUGCUCCUCAGAGCGGCAGUUGAGAACCGGUCGUGUCUUUCAGACUCCAGUCGUGUAUCUGAUCCCAGCCUAACCUCAGCCAGAUGGGGAACUUCCGAGCCAACUGGGUUCGCUGGGUGGUUGUUCUGUGAUCCACAUUUAAUGUAUUCACACAUGUGGAGGGACGAAUGAAACGAAUAGUCAUUGUUUUUUUCUUAAUUGAUUUUUUUAUUUUAAAUAAAAC